rnacentral:lncRNA from 1 species
CACAGUUCCUGCCUUCAAGAAGCUCUCACUCCAGACGUGUGGGGGAUGACCAAGUAAACAGUUAAUUACAGUACAAUAUGAGAGAAAGAGAGCACAAGCAGGGGGAGUGACAGACGGAGGCAGAGGGAGAAGCAGGCUCCCUAUGGAGCAGGGAGCCCAAUGUGGGGCUCAAUCCCAGGAGCCUGGGAUCAUGACCCAUGCUGGAGGCAGGUGCUUAACUGAUUGAACCACCCAGCACCCCUCAAAGCAAAUUUUUAAAACAUCUAAUAUUAAAGAAUUACUUUCUUCAUAUGAAAAUAGCAUUAAGGUGAAUUUUUAAAAAAGAUUUUAUUUAUUUAUUUGACACAGAGAGAGAGCACAAGUAGGCAGAGUCAGGUGGGGGCGGGCGGGAAGCAGGCUCCCCACUGAGCAGAGAGCCCAAUGCAGGGCUCAAUCCCAGGACCCCGAGAUCAUGUCCUGAGCUGAAGGCAGACGCUUAAUCCACUGAGCCACCCAGGUGCCCCUUAA